GAAAUCUUUAAUGCAGUCCAGAGAGACUGGCAAGAUUUGUAGUAUAUAUUUACAUAGUAUUAAAAUAUAACUAUGUAGUUUUUGUAAAGAUAACUAUACUUCUUGCCAGCUCGGCAAGAAGUUUUUUAUA
rfam:Clostridium colicanis DSM 13634 CLCO_contig000006, whole genome shotgun sequence.